rnacentral:rRNA from 1 species
CAGGAUGAACGCUGGCGGUAUGCUUUACACAUGCAAGCCGUACGGAAGUGUUAAAACUUUAGUGGCGGACGGGUGAGUAACACGUGAGAAUUUACCUUUAGGUGGGGAAUAACAGUUGGAAACGAUUGCUAAUGCCGCAUAUCAUAAAUAUGAAAGAAGAAAUUCGCCUAAAGAAAAGCUUGCGUCUGAUUAGCUAGUUGGUAAGGGUAAAGGCCUACCAAGGCGACGAUCAGUAGCUGGUUUGAGAGGAUGACCAGUCACACUGGAACUGAGACACGGUCCAGACUCCUACGGGAGGCAGCAGUGGGGAAUUUUCUGCAAUGGGCGAAAGCCUGACAGAGCAAUACCGCGUGAGGGAAGAAAGCCCACAGGGUUGUAAACCUCUUUUGUCAAGGAAGAAGUUCUGACGUUACUUGACGAAUAAGCAUCGGCUAACUCCGUGCCAGCAGCCGCGGUAAGACGGGGGAUGCAAGUGUUAUCCGGAAUCACUGGGCGUAAAGCGUUUGUAGGUGGUUUAGUAAGUCUAUUGUUAAAUCUUGAAGCUCAACUUCAAAACUGUAAUAGAAACUAUUAGACUCGAGGAUAGUAGGGGUAAAGGGAAUUUCCAGUGGAGCGGUGAAAUGCGUAGAGAUUGGAAGGACCACCGAUGGCGAAGGCACUUUACUGGGCUAUAUCUGACACUAAGAGACGAAAGCUAGGGUAGCGAAUGGGAUUAGAUACCCCAGUAGUCCUAGCCGUAAACGAUGGAUACUAGAUGUUGCGUGUAUCGAUCCAUGCAGUA